rnacentral:rRNA from 1 species
AGAGUUGAUCAUGGCUCAGGAUGAACGCUGGCGGCGUGCCUAACACAUGCAAGUCGAACGAGCGAGAGAUGAAACCUAGUGAUUCUCGAGCGAGUGGCGGACGGGUGAGUAACGCGUGGGUAACCUGCCUUACAGAGGGGGGAUAACAGUCUGAAAAGACUGCUAAUACCGCAUAAGCACACAGUACCGCAUGGUACAGGGUGAAAAGAUUUAUCACUGUAAGAUGGACCCCGCGUCUGAUUAGCCAGUUGGCAGGGUAACGGCCUACCAAAGCGACGAUCAGUAGCCGACCUGAGAGGGUGAUCGGCCACAUUGGGACUGAGACACGGCCCAAACUCCUACGGGAGGCAGCAGUGGGGGAUAUUGCACAAUGGAGGAAACUCUGAUGCAAGCGACGCCGCGUGAGUGAAGAAGUAUUUCGGUAUGUAAAGCUCUAUCAGCAGGGAAGAUAAUGACAGUACCUGACCAAGAAGCCCCGGCUAACUACGUGCCAGCCGCGGC